CCUACGGGUGGCAGCAGUGAGGAAUAUUGGUCAAUGGACGAGAGUCUGAACCAGCCAAGUAGCGUGAAGGAUGACUGCCCUAUGGGUUGUAAACUUCUUUUAUAUGGGAAUAAAAUGUUCCACGUGUGGGAUUUUGUAUGUACCAUAUGAAUAAGGAUCGGCUAACUCCGUGCCAGCAGCCGCGGUAAUACGGAGGAUCCGAGCGUUAUCCGGAUUUAUUGGGUUUAAAGGGAGCGUAGGUGGAUUGUUAAGUCAGUUGUGAAAGUUUGCGGCUCAACCGUAAAGUUGCAGUUGAAACUGGCAGUCUUGAGUACAGUAGAGGUGGGCGGAAUUCGUGGUGUAGCGGUGAAAUGCUUAGAUAUCACGAAGAACUCCGAUUGCGAAGGCAGUUCACUGGACUGCAACUGACACUGAGGCUCGAAAGUGUGGGUAUCAAACAGGAUUAGAUACCCGAGUAGUC
rnacentral:rRNA from 1 species